AGGUACUCACAUCCAAAGUUUAAUCUGCCACAGAGAAACACUGUGAUGCAUUGCAUCUUUCAACAUUUUUUUUUACUAUUUUGUCACAACGCAUGUCUAUUAGUUCAAUCUGUAUUUGAGGACUAGUUUCCGAGGCAUUCACAGCUGCAGUUUCGAGAUGAUUUUUCAGGCCAGUAUCUCCUGAUCUGGUAUGAGAUCUCAACAAAGUCCUAAAAUUGUCAUCAUUGUGCAAAGGUUCUUUACAGUUAAUAGGUCCUGAUUAAUUGAUCCCUCUUAAAGCCAGUUAUUGUUAGCCACAAAGAACAAUAGUUUUCACAAGUGGCAGAAUUUUCUUUCUGUUUUCUUUUGCUUUUUUAUUUUCUUUAUCACAAUGAUGAGUUUCUUUGGCAGGGGUUGAAUUAGAUGAACAACUGGUAGAAACCUCAGUUUUAACAGUUUUCACCUACAAUCCAGGUGUGCAUGUUUUGGGGUCUCCAUCAGUACCAGCUGCUGCGGUAGUUCUCAACCUUCUUGGUCCUCAAUAUUUGGAUUUUUCUUUUUUGCCAUGAACUCAAAAAUGUUCUGUUGCUUUGAUAGAUGUUUAGGUAUCUUCUGGAGUCAGAUGGAUGAAAAUAAACGCUAACAGGGCUUUAAGUCUCAGAACAGCAACUCAAGCUAGCAGACAGUAAGACAGCUGUGCUUAGAAUGACCCACAGCUGUUUCAUGUCUUCCUUUUAUACUCCAAUGGGAGGAACAACAAGGCAGACAUAAGAGAGAGCUCUGAGAGGGGAAGAGCAAUAGGACAGUGAUGUGACUACUUUCAGAUGUUUUUUAAAGUAAUAUUUCAAGUUACGUGUACAAAAUAUCAACAUUUCAUUGAGAUGGUGCUUGGAGUUCUGGAGGAACGAAUCUUCAGCAACAACAUGGGGAAGGAUACAACCAUCAGGUGGGACUGUGCAUGAAGCUGUAGUGAAGAGAAGGGACCAGGAGAGUCCUGGUACACAAACAGACUUCCACCCAAUCUUUUUGGAAUCCAUUUCACGGUCUCUAAAAGAGAACUGUCUUCCCCAACUUGAUGCUCUUCAAAUUGCUGCAACUCCCAUCAUUCUCAUUUACAUCCACGGAAACAAGCUCCAAGAUCUGCAAAUAAAGGAAGGAAAUGGAAGGAGAGAAACUUGGACAUUUUAAAAACUUAAGAAAAAGUGGAUGACAGAGGAUUAUUCAGAAUGAUUCCUGCCAAAUUUGGAACUGGAGGGUAUUUGUUGGGGACUGUUGGCUGAAAGUUCAUACAAAGGGGUACUGGGACACACAAAUACAGUUCCACUCUAUAUAUUCAUACCUACAGAAAAUGUUUGAUCAACAGUAUGACACAAGCCAUUGAGCUGGAACUGUGCUACAACUGAAUUUUGAGAAAAAUCAGAUCAUUUGAACUAAGGGUUGAAGCCUUCAGCCCUUCACUCAGGUUCCACCAACAGUUUAAAAUAGCUGUUCAUUUCAGUAAUAGAACGAGGGCGUGAAUAACUGCAAUUAUGUUAAUUGCAACCUUUUCAAAAGUCAGAUUGGUUCUCAGCAUGAAUGUGAAAUAAGAGCCUAUAAGAUAGCUGCAUGAUCUCCAGUUCAUCUUUCUCAGCUGCCAUCUGAACUAACCAUCAGACUGCACACUUCCAGUAAAUAGUUUUACCACGUCUUGUAAUAUAGAUUUGUCUUUAUGUGCCCAAAUGAAAAGAGGCGAUAUUUUCUCCUUUCACCCGUCAAACAAUUCCCUGUGGUUCAGGUCAAAGCGUCAUAAUGGUCAUAGAGGGCUAAAAACAUGUUUGUCUCUUUAAAAUAAAAUCCAUAUACAGAUUGCCUCUCACAUUUUUAGAUUUGACUUCUGCAGGUUUGAUUAUUAAUCGAUUGACUGAAAUCUUUUUCUCUAGGAAUCUCUAGGUCCUCCAAUGUAGUGUUUCACAUUUACAGGAAUUCUGUGACCCUAAUGCAAACGUGGAGGGCUGACUGUACAAUGAAAGCUGAGAUUCUCAGGGUGGCUAAUUCAGACCUCCUCCUUAUUAAGGUGCUUAUCUCUCUCUCUCAAACCUGUAAGAAAUAACUGCAGCAAGAGUGCCUCUACAGAGGCAGAUGGGUUUUGGAGUCCGCCUUAGUAUCAAGGCCAAGCAUCAACAGCUGUCUCAUGUACAAAAAGUGUCCAUCUGUAUUAGUGACCUUGUUUGACAUUUCUUGCAUUCACUUUGCAGUCAGAGGCUAAGAAAAAACAUGAGGGCUGUGAAUGAACUGGGGAAGUGAAUUUUCAUCUGUAGCUAAUGUCCUUGCACAGUUCUUAUAGCUAUUGGGGGUGGGGAGUGGGGUGGUUCAUCCUGGUGUACUUUUUCUUUGUUUGCUUGUAUGUACUAUUUAAAUCUUAGGAGUCCAUCUUCCAUUGAUCUCAGCCAGGGGAGUAAGUGCACUGCAAUCUAGGUGCCCCGUAUACCGUAUUAGUUGUGUGGAUGUUUGAUUGUUGGCCAAGGAUAAUUCAAAUAGAUUUGUCUGGGGCUGCAGAUGGUGAUGGUGGCUUAAAUGUUUCUCUGCUGUGCACCAUCCUUUCUAUCAUUUGACAUCAAUAAAAUAUGCUAUUUGUCUAAAUACCUAAAUGCACCAGAUCCUUUUUAAUCUUGGAAACCCUGGUUAGUAUUUGUAUGGGAGACUGCCAACCAAUACAAGGUAAUGUAGGCUAUAUUUCAAAGGAAGGAACUAACAAAACCUAAGUAUUCCCUAUGGGGUCACCAUAAGCCAACAGGUGAUUUGAAGGCACAUGUUGCUGUAUCUUCAAGUUGUUUCCAGUUUGUGGCACAUACAUAUAUAGAUAACUUAUGCUAUAGCAGUUAUACAUAUCUAUGUCAGAAACAGAAAGAACUCUUGGGGAGACCUGAAACUUCCUCCAGUUGUGACACAGAAAGCAGCCUUUGACUUUUCUGGCAGAAGUCUGGUUAUAUCCAGCCAGUGAAUUACAGGGAGGAGGAAGAGGCUGAAGUGUGUGUUUUGGGCCAGAAAUCUUGUCUCAGAUUAGAUAUUGACUUUGUCAUGAAAUUCCACUUAUCCAAGCACUAAGCCUAGUGUCAGCUUUAUUUGGAAGCAUAAGCUUCCCACACGUGUCUCUCUCUCUCUCUCUGCAAGUAAUGUGUGUGUGUGUGGGGGGGGGGGGGGAGGCACCAGAGCAGAGUGUAUGUUGAGCCAAGACUUGGCGCUAAGAACAGCUUCAAGCCCUACAGUCAAUUUCAGAGGCCAUUCUACAUGCCAAAUGGUGGAAUGAUGGAAAACAUAUAUUGUGUUAGAUAAGUUGUUUGUCUGAUGAAGUGGUUGCUACCUAGGAGUAAUGAUCUCAUCCUGGCACAACAUUAAGUGAAGAUGAAUACAUUAUUUGCUGUUCCAGUUUUCACAUACAAUUUGUACAAUGAUGAAAAUUCUACUCUUUUGUGGGGCUCUGCUCCAAGUGAGACAAAAGGACCAGGUAAAAACCUCUAGCUCAGUAAGAAC
ensembl:lncRNA